GCAUAGCAAGUUACCGCGCGUUGCUCUGUCAGGGUUGCAGGAAGUGAACAUGGCACCUAAGGAGAAAAAGGGCCCCAAAAAACGUAAGAUGUCAUGGACGCAUUUAACUUCCCCGGCAAGGCCACACGGACAUGCGCGCUUAUUCGACCCUGGCUGAUGUAGUGCUGGCGAUGGGCCAACUGACGGCUUUUGUAGCUAUCUACAAGGGUGCUUGCAAAAGCUACGGAGUAGCACCCGACAAGCAGUUGCUUGAGGAGGCGGAGAAGAAACUCCUAAUCUGCAAGGCCAUUGACAAGGUGUACAGGGAAGGCAAAGGACAGGUCUUAAGACGACCCUGGAAUCCUGAUGAUGGAAUUCCAAUUGGGUUAUCUCCCGUUGUUCCCAGUUUUCCACUGCCCCAGUUUUCCACUGCCAGGAGCCCUUUCCACACAUCCGAGGAAGAGGCACUUCCAGAGCCUCUCAACCUACAAGACUUCUCAUCACCAGCCUCCUGCCCUUAAAACCCCGGCUUGGCCCCCUUUCCCAUCGGUCCCACAGAUAAUCCUCCGCGGGCCCCAGCACACUAGCAGCUCGCUCUGUGCAGUACUGGACGCAAUGGCGGGUACGUGUGUUGGGUUGGACCCGCCAUCUCCCUUUGGGCCUCUCCCCACCAGUGUACCCCCUGGUACCCCUCAUGGCAACAGCGUCCUCGGGACGCUAUUUUCCUCCACCCUGCGAAGCACACGUCCUGGCCUGCCUGACGGCGCCCUGGGCCCCCUGGCUCGGGCUGCUUGCCCUGACCUCCCGUCUUAGGGUAUGCGCACAUCCGCAAUCUGGUGCUCUGGGGCUGCAGCAUUGGAGAUGAGGUGAGGGGUACGACGGGGCGAUCAGAUGGAGCUUCCUGCGGUAUGUGUGUCGACAG
rnacentral:lncRNA from 1 species